rnacentral:rRNA from 1 species
GACGACGCUGGCGGCGUGCUUAACACAUGCAAGUCGAACGAGUGGCGGACGGGUGAGUAAUGUCUGGGAAACUGCCUGAGGGAGGGGGAUAAAUACUGGAAACGGUAGCUAAUACCGCAUACCAUCGGAUGUGCCCAGAUGGGAUUAGGUAGUAGGUGGGGUAAAGGCUCACCUAGGCGACGAUCCCUAGCUGGUCGGAGAGGAUGACCAGCCACACUGGAACUGAGACACGGGCCAGACUCCUACGGGAGGCAGCAGUGGGGAAUAUUGCACAAUGGGCGCAAGCCUGAUGCAGCCAUGCCGCGUGUAUGAAGAAGGCCUUCGGGUUGUAAAGUACUUUCAGUUGGGAGGCGUUACCCACAGAAGAAGCACCGGCUAACUCCGUGCCAGCAGCCGCGGUAAUUC